GGAUCUACCUGACGGAAGUUUGAGGCAAUAACAGGUCUGUGAUGCCCUUAGAUGUUCUGGGCCGCACGCGCGCUACACUGACAAAGCCAGCGAGUCUAUCACCUUGGCCGGAAGGUCCGGGUAAUCUUGUGAAACUUUGUCGUGCUGGGGAUAGAGCAUUGCAAUUAUUGCUCUUCAACGAGGAAUGCCUAGUAAGCGCAAGUCAUCAGCUUGCGUUGAUUACGUCCCUGCCCUUUGUACACACCGCCCGUCGCUACUACCGAUUGAAUGGCUUAGUGAGGUCUUCGGAUCGGCUUUGAGGACCCGGCAACGGGAUCUCGUUGCUGAGAAGUCGAUCAAACUUGGUCAUUUAGAGGAAGUAAAAGUCGUAACAAGGUUUCCGUAGGUGAACCUGCGGAAGGAUCAUUAGUGAAUCUUCAAAAGUCGGCUCUGUGGAUUGUGCUGGUGGAGACACAUGUGCACGUCCGCAAGGUCGCAAACCCCACACACCUGUGCAUCUAUGACUCUGAGUGCCGCUUUGCAUGGCCUUGACCGGCCUGGCGCUCGAGUACUUUCACACACUCUUGAAUGUAACGGAAUGUCUUGUUGUGCAUAACGUACAAACAGAAACAACUUUCAACAACGGAUCUCUUGGCUCUCGCAUCGAUGAAGAACGCAGCGAAAUGCGAUAAGUAAUGUGAAUUGCAGAAUUCAGUGAAUCAUCGAAUCUUUGAACGCACCUUGCACCCUUUGGUAUUCCGAAGGGUACGCCCGUUUGAGUGUCAUUGUAAUCUCACCACCAUCGACUUUGGUCUUUUGGUAUGUGGACUUGGAUGUUGCCGUCGAUGUCUACGGCUCGUCUGAAAUGCUUCAGUGUACCCCGCUUUGCGGCGUAUUCGGUGUGAUACAUCUUCACCGGAGUUGAUCCUUUUGGGGGUCGCGUCUGUAAUGUGUGGCUCUAUGCUUCCAACCGUCUCUCGAGACAAUCUCUGACAAUUUGACCUCAAAUCGGGUGGGACUACCCGCUGAACUUAAGCAUAUCAAUAAGCGGAGGAAAAGAAACUAACAAGGAUUCCCCUAGUAACGGCGAGUGAAGAGGGAAAAGCUCAAAUUUUGAAUCUGGUGUCUUUGACUCCCGAGUUGUAAUCUAGAGAAGUGUUUUCCGUGUCGGACCGUGCACAAGUUCCCUGGAACGGGGCGUCAUAGAGGGUGAGAAUCCCGUAUAUGGCACGGACUGCCGAUGCUUUUGUGAUACACUCUCAACGAGUCGAGUUGUUUGGGAAUGCAGCUCAAAAUGGGUGGUAAAUUCCAUCUAAAGCUAAAUAUUGGCGAGAGACCGAUAGCGAACAAGUACCGUGAGGGAAAGAUGAAAAGCACUUUGGAAAGAGAGUGAAACAGUACGUGAAAUUGUUGAAAGGGAAGCGUUUGAAGUCAGUCGUAUCUGGCGGGAUUCAGCUGGGCUUUUGCCCGGUGUACUUCUCGUCCGAUGGGUCAGCAUCAAUUUCGACCGGGGGAAAAAGAUGUGGGGAAUGUGGCUGUCUUCGGGCAGUGUUAUAGCCCCAUGUUGUAUGCCUCGGUUGGGAUUGAGGAACGCAGCGCGCCUAUAGGCCAGGGGCUACCCGCCUCUUGACACGCGCUUAGGAUGCUGGCAUAAUGGCUUUAAGCGACCCGUCUUGAAACACGGACCAAGGAGUCUAACAUGUGCGCGAGUGUUUGGGUGUCAAACCCAUGCGCGAAAUGAAAGUGAAAGGUCGGGAUCAUUCACGUGUGCACCGACGCCCGGAGCAGACCUUCUGUGACGCAUCCGCGGUAGAGCGUAUAUGUUGGGACCCGAAAGAUGGUGAACUAUGCCUGAAUAGGGUGAAGCCAGAGGAAACUCUGGUGGAGGCUC
rnacentral:rRNA from 1 species